rnacentral:lncRNA from 1 species
AAAAAAAAAACAUGUAUAUUCAGAUUCUGUUUAUGGUAAAUCUUUUUGUUUUUCCAGUUUUGUCUCAUACAUAAUUGUUCAGGAACAAAAGUAUUAUUUAUUUGAUCCUAAGAUUCUCAUUUUGAAUAUUUUUGCUCUGUUUUGAGGAUUUUACUUUUUGACUCUGUUUUCUUAUAAAAUUUCUAAUUAAAAGUCAAAACAUAUAUAUAUAUAUAUAUAUAUAUGUAUUUUUUUGUAAUUUCAGAUUCUGUGAAUUGUCAAUUUCUCCACUUUUUAUAUUUACAUAUAUUAUAUAUACAGCCAAUUUGUCUUGUUAGAUACAUAUAUAUUUUGGCUCUGUUUUGAGGAUGAUACAUUUUAACUCUGUUUUCUCAAUUUAUAAAAAUGCAUUUCUUUUUCUCUGUGUGUUUUAAAUUUAAAACAUAAAGGUUUGAUUCUAAUGAAUAAGAGUUUGAUGUUGAAAUGUGCAAAAAAUAAAAACAGGUUUUGUCAGUGACGAAAGCAUUGUCGAUUCAAGCACAUCCAAACAAAGCCUUAGCAGAGAAAUUGCAUAGAGAAGAUCCUCUUCUUUACAGAGAUGCUAACCAUAAGCCUGAGAUUGCUCUCGCCAUUACUCCUUUUCAAGCUCUUUGUGGUUUCGUAUCUCUUAAUGUACUAGAUUCUUCACUUCUCUGCAAACAUCUAAUUUAGUCGGUUUUUGAUUUAGAUAACUUCGGUUAUUUUGCCUAUCACAUAUGCUAAAUCCAAAAUUGAACCGGUUCUGUACCACUUUUGAUAUCAAAUUCAGGAGCUGAAGGAAGCCAUCGCCAAUGUACCAGAAAUCACAGAGCUUGUCGGAAGUAAAGCAGCAGAUCAAAUCUUCAAAGUCAACGAACACGAUGGAGACGAAACAAGUGUUAAAUCCGUUGUCCGUUUGAUUUUCACGCAAUUGAUGUCUGCAAACAUCAAUGAUACAAAGCAAGUCAUAUCACAGAUGAAGAUUCGUCUGAUCUCAGAAACAAACCACCGUGAGUUAUCGGAGAAGGAGAAGUUAGUAUUGGAACUAGAGAAACAGUAUCCAGGUGACGUGGGCGUGAUCUCAGCAUUCUUCUUUAACCACGUCAAGCUUAAUCCCGGAGAGGCUUUGUAUCUUGACGCCAACGAGCCACACGCUUACAUUUCCGGCGACUGUGUUGAGUGUAUGGCGGCUUCAGACAACGUUGUUAGAGCUGGUCUCACUCCGAAACACCGCGAUGUUCAAACUCUGUGUUCUAUGCUGACCUACAAAUUGGUAACUUUCUUUACACGUUAACGUUUUUUUUGGUUUAGUUGGCUAGCAAAAUUUGGAUUGUACCCUAACCCUAACCAAAACCGAAAAUUUAUUUUUCUUUGUUUGGUUAUUGAUUAAUUGUACCGGAUUUGUUUCAGGGCUACCCGGAGAUUUUGAAAGGAUUUCCUCUGACUCCAUACAUUACGAGAUACCUUCCACCAUUUGAUGAGUUUGAAGUGGACCAUUGUGAUCUUCCUAGAGAGAAAUCCACUGUUUUUCCGGCCAUACCAGGGCCAUCGGUUUAUCUGGUUAUUGAAGGAAAAGGGACAUUGAAAACCGGUUCAUCUCAAUUGUUGGUUAAACGAGGAGAUGUUUUGUUUGUUCCGGCACAUAACGAGAUUCACGUAACCGGAGAAAGUGAUGUGAUGAAGCUUUACAGAGCUGGAGUCAGCAGCAGAUUCUUUCAAACAAUGUAGACUAAGUAAAGAUACAUAUAUAUAUAUUUAAUUUGUUAUCUAAAUGUAACCAUAGGGAUCAAGGCAUUGACGUGAUCAUAGUCAAUAUUGGUCCAUGUUCUUUAAUCCUACAAAUGUCCCAUUACGAAUCAAGGGUUCAAGGGGUUGUUUUUCUAUUAACUUUUGUUGUUUCUUCUACACCUUUAAAAUUGAAUUAUAUAUGUAAAAUGAUUAUAAAACAAUGUUUUUUUUUUUACUUUUUGCUAUUGUAGUGUAGUAACUAGUAAUUAUUCUUCCUUUACCUGUUUAAACUUUAAUUUCUAGAACUACUCUGCAAAAGCACAUUUGUUCAGUUGUAAUAUGUAGAGAUCGAACCACAGAGACGAGAAAUUCGCUCAAUAAACCUAAUAGACUCUAAUUGCGCUAAGAAGAAAUAAUGAAAUUGAGAGCAGCAAUGCAAUAAAAAACGGUUUUAAAUUCGAUGGGAAAGAAUUAGGCUCAGGGUGUUUCACAGAAAAUCAGAGAAUGCAGACAAAUCGAUUAGUCAUGAUUCAGAUUUAAGCGCAAUUCUUGAACUCAAAUCACGAAAUUAUAAUUAACUAACUUUUGUUGCGAAAAUUAUUUAAAUCUAAAUCCCAGAAUCCCAAUUUUCUUUGCAAUCCUAAAGAUAUAAAUUAGCCUUAAGUGCAGGUUCGAUAUGUUCACAAAGUGUCUAAACCAAUUUUUUUUGUGGAUAGCUACUUUGCUCAUCCUAGGUUCUUUCGGAUUAUUCAAUUACAGUUUCGUGUCAAUCAAUUAACCUAAGAUCUAAGUUCUAGGUGAUCAGUCCAAAAUUAGCUUUAAGAAUAAUCUAUGGUGAAUUACUAAUCAGAUUAUGACCCCUAACUAAUUAAUUAUCUAAAAUUCAAAGGGAUCCCUUAUGAGAACCCUAAACCUAACAAACAAACUACUCAAAUAUGGAGAUUGAAUCAAUAAACAUGAAUGAAUAGAUUGCAGAAAGCAGUAAAAAGAUUAAUAAACAGAGGUUCAAAAUCUUCUCUCAAACAAACAGAGUCUCAGACUUGUCUCCCUAAAAGCUCUCUCAAGAUCAAUAGAAAUCAAAAGUCUCAAAGAAAAUCUAGAGUGUAGCCAAAACACGUGGCUGAAAACCCUAUCAAAAGCUAAAACACAUGUUGGACUUCCCUGUAAAUAUUGGAGACUUCUGGGCUCAAGAGAUUCUUUAAAACUUAGACAAAAUCACGUUUUUCCUUAUUCACGACAUUGGUGUCGAGCAACACCAAAACAUAUAAAUCAUCUUUCACGAAUUUGAUCCCUGCUUAGUUCCAAAAUGCUCUAAAAUCUCCAAUUAAACUCCAAAUACAUUUAAGACCUGAAAAGACUCCAAAAAAUUAAAAAAACACUAAAGAGACUCUAUAAAUAAAACCUAUCAUGAUCAAAAACCAUAAAAAAAAACCAUGAUAUAUCAUUCUCCAUGAUAAGCAUUUUUCGAAUGGUCUGAGUCGAACAAAACAAUGUUCUCUAAAGUAUAAGGCCAAUUCUUUUUGCCUCCCUCGUCACUUACCUUUUGUUUGUGGCUUCCAUGGCAUAGACUAGAGAGAUGACCCCGAGAAGACCUAAUCUAGCACGCAUUUGUUUGGAUGUUGCUAAUGUUCCGUUUUAAAGUACAUAUGCAAAGAUCGUGGAAAGUAAAACGAACUCAAUCUUAAGUCUUGAGACAAUGAUUUUUGCCAAUUUUCCGGUAAGCUUUCCCGGUGAAAUCUUUCACUGGAAUGACCUGAUUAUGGAUGCGCUGGAAACUUGAGUACUAUAACGUGAUAUACUUAUAUGUCAAAAUCGAAUUUAAACUGAAUGAGAAAUGAGGAUUCUUAGAGAGUAUAGCUUGAAAGCUUAAAAAUAACAUAAGUUACCAAAUGACAAGUGUGAUUUGUCCCACAUUAGCAAUUCAACGUUACAUUUUGAACGUAGUGUUACGUUCUCCCCUUGAUAAUACUCAAUAGAUCUGCUUCUAGCCUGUCCCAACAAUCUGAUUCGGAUUGAGAAUUGCGGUUUUUGCGAACGUUGUUAAAGAUUUCCAAAAAAAAAAAUAUUUCAUUACGGCUUUUCACAUCAAAUCGGAAAAACUCUGCUUAGUUUUAACUUUUUAGGGAAUUUGAUAAAUAUUUGACAAACUUUGUGAAAAUAACUUUUGGAGUAGCAAAAUUCCGCAAAAAAAAAAAAAAAACUCAGAGUAAACUUACUGACAAAAGAAAAAAGUUUCCUCAAGUUGGUUUAGUCGCAUUCCUUUUGUCAAGCACUUAAUCCACUACAAAGACGUUUUGUUGUAAUUUAACCGAACUGAACAAUCAUUCCAAAUCUUAAUAAGCAGCUAAAGAGAGACAUUGAGAGACCAAGAUAAACCGGUUUACUUGCACCUACUUGCUGUUUGUUAAAGCUUUGGUUACAAAAUGUGAAACGAUUCCAACCGGACAGAAGAGAAGGCACAAUGAAACCGAAUGCCUCGUCUCAAUCUUAUUCUCUAGCCCAUCAUUAAAAACUUGCCUGCAGAGAAACACUCAAAACAUGAGUUAUAAGAAACAUGCUAGGAUCAAUCAGAACCUGAAAAGUGCAAUAUAGUACCUUGCAGCGAAAAGAUCUAUAACAAGAAGAUGAAUCCAAGCAGAAGCAAGAGUCAUUUCACUUGAGAACAUUUUCGCUAUUCCAGACAACUGCAAAUGAAAAAAAAAAAAAGAAAUUUUAGAAACUGGAAUGUACACAUUUUCUUGUUUUCGAUAUUUCCUGAUAAUUGGAGGAAAAAGCUAAAACCUCUGGCAACAUGUAUUUACUGGAAAACAUGUAUUUGAGAGUAUCAGGCGUCCAAGAAAGGUAUAACAAAUACGCGUAUAAUACGCCUAAGACGAUAUACGGUAUGCUACUCUCCAUACACUUUUUGGUCUGCACAAGGAGAAAACAUACACUCAAUUCAAUAUGAACUUUUUUGAUUCUGCACAAGAAGUUGUAAAACUGCUAAACAAAAACUCACAAUUUCAGCUUUUGGAGCUACAACCAUUAGAGUGUAAAAGGGUAAAACAGCGGUUGUUCCAACCGCAAAUACACUGCUUGCAAUCUGAGAAGUAGCUAUCCCUGCACAAGAACAUGUUAUGUCUCUGUCCUACUUUCAAUUUAAACAUUGAAGAGCUAUAGAUUCUAGACAUAUAUCAAGCCUCUUUUUGGUUUAUAAUGUUUCAGUUAAGAGACAUUACAUGAAGCUCGUACACCAGAGGAUUUCUUUUGAACAAGAGAGGACGAGUUCGAUGAAACAUUAGGGAAAAGUGCGAUUUUUGAUCCUCCGAUAAAGCUCCAACGAUUCUGAAGUCGAAUACUUGACGAACCAACGCAUAGUUUAGACUUGACAUUGCUGAGAGAAAGACUUGUUAUCGAGCUCUUAGCUGAAAUGUUGCGAUUCAUCAUCUGAAUCACCAAACAAAAUGAAUCAAUCUGAUGAAAUAUAAAAAACUUCUUUAUUUCUUAAAAUUUAGGAAUCUGAGACCAAAAGCACUUUGAUCUGAACAACAACGAAUCAGGAACAGAGUUAGGUUCUGUAACAGGGACCCAUGAGGAGUAAAUUCAACUUCUUUAAUGUCUGCGUCAAUUCGAUCUGAUUCAAAGGAUAAAACUUUAAGGUUACCCAUAAGGAAUCUGAACUAUUCGAAAUUGUAGAAAGCUCGACAUAAGAAUCUAAUCCGACAAUCUCCAACAACUGUACAUACAUACAUACAUACAUACAUACAUGAUACAUACAUACAUACAUACACACACAUAGAUAUAGACAUAUAUCUGCGUAUACCGAAAAUUGGAGAAGAAUUGAAAAAGGAAGAGAAAAGGUAGAUACCGAGAGAGAUGAAGAAGACAAAGGCUGGGAAAUGCAAGAAGAUAAAGCCAUCUGCGAUUCAAAUCUUCAAUAGUCUUUGCCAGAAUUUGGCCAUUCAUUACCUUCUUCAACGAGCUCUCUCCAUAUAUAUAUGUAAAGUAUCAAUUUUUAGAGAGGAGAGUUGAGAGUUUUCCACUGGUUGAAAAGGGUAAGUGGAGAAGAAGCUAAGAGAAAAAGUGCUCACUCACUCUUUCUUCAUCAGUGUGGACAAUUAUAGUUGCUCAUCCACCCGAAUUUUUUAAAAAAGUUUUGGUCUUUUUUAGUUUUCCUCGUUUACUUCUGUUUCGCAUAAACAAAAAAAAAAGAAAAAACCAUUAUGAGUUUGAGUUAAUUUUAAAGAGAAAAUCAAAUUUAAAGAUUCUUUAUAUUGUAUGUUCAAAAUUGCAAUAUAUUAUGGAAAAAAAGAGAAGAUUUUUUCCUAAUUUUAGAUAAAAACCUUUAAUAAAAAUCAAAAAAUUAUUAAGAUAUUAAUUUAACCUUAUAUUUUAGAUAUUGUUCUUUUUCUGGUCAAUAUAAAAAAUUACAGUUUACCAUUCUUAUAUAAAAAAAAAUUAAUUAGACUCAAAUGGAAUGUUUUUAUUUUUUUAACAAGAAUAUAACUUUCAUAGAACCUAAUACCCAAAAAAAAAACAUUUGACCCGACUAAAUUAAAAUUCAAGGAAAGAUUGGAGCUUUGAUCCUUUACUCGAUAAAAAAAAGGUUCUUCAUUGUAUGAUCAAAUGACUUGUCGGAUUGUAUUUGUAGGUGGCUCAUCGUAGGAUUAAUAGCUUCUCGGAUUUUGUUAUCCUUGUCUUGUGUUUUGCUUUUUCCGUGAAGAUCAAAAUUUUCUUCUAUACAUUCCUGCUAUAUAUUCCAUCAUGUUCUACCGGUUACACUUAUAAGCCUAUAAGGAUAUCUAAUCUACUUUUUUAUUUGAUAAAAACCUAAUAUCUUUGUUAAUGGAUAUUUGUGCUUAAACUGAAUUUAGACACAACACAGGUCUAGUUCAGGACAGAACAAGACAAAAGUGACAGUGCUACUUCUACUCAGCAGUGGUUGUGACUUCCUCUAAAGACAAAAGUUGGUGUUUCCACCAUUAUUUCGGUUUUGCUUUUAUUAUAUAUUUUAUUUUAAUUUAUUUUUCGCUACAUGAGAAUUGCAUUAACGAAGGACAUUAUAUAUGAAAACAAAAAAAAACAAUAAAAAGAUAUACAUACAUGUGUCUGACACUCAUUGUUUGUGAAAUCAGUUGGGAGUAAGAUAGCGCUUGAGUGGGCUAUUUGGUAUGAUAGCUUCUCUCUAUUGAUGGGCCUUAUUGACCCACCCCACUUCAGUUUUGUUUAGUCAUUCACAACAAGAAAAACAUGAAAACAAAAGCAACACUUGUCUUUUCUAUCUCUCAAUCUGUAAGUGGUAUAUGCGCAUUUCGUUGAAUUCGAUUGAGACCAAAACUCUUUUAAAACAUAAUGUAUAGUUCUUAGGAUUAUAUGGGGAAAAUAUAUGAUGUCUCAAAGAUUUUUCAUAACAUAUUAUAUUCCUUAUAAUAAAAGGUCACCUGGGGUUUUUCUAUAAACCGGGGUUUUUUUAUAAACCGCCGGCUUUUCUAUAAACCGCCGGCUUUGUCUCUGGAGAUGUUGUAUCAUCUGCCGGCUUUGUGUAAUCCGUUGGCUUUGCUCUGUAACACUAUGGUGAUCAAUAUAAUAAUAUUCAAUGAAAAAAAAAAAAGGUCACCUAAAUAAUUAAAAAUUUGAAUUUUUACGACUCAUAUUUCUAUCCUAUUCCAAAGCUAGGAAAACAACAUAAAGAGUUACAAAUUCUUACUAUAUAGUACUUCCAACAAUAUCUUUAUGUAAAUUUGUGCCAAGUCAUUUUGAGUGGAAAAUGUAGAAUAUAUGAUCCACAAGAUCCUUGAAUAUACUUGGGUAUAUAGAAAUAAAAAUGAAUAUCCGAGACUCUUAUCUACAAGCCUAUCCUUAAGAAGGCACGUCCACGAAUGUUUCUAUCACAGAUUUUCAGUGGGCCAUCAUCUAUUACUUCAAGAUAUUGUUCUAAAAAUGCAUCUCAACCUCAAGCUUACUAAUCAUGUGACAAAAGUGAUAAUGUGAAUCUAGUUUUUCAAAUAAUUUCUUUAUUCAAUGACGACUAAUCAAAGAGUUGGUAUAUUUUUGUAUUCACAGUUCUUCAACUUUGUAUAUUUUCAUAUCUUGAGCCGCAUUGUAAUUUGUUUUUUCUUAUAUGCAAAAUUCAAAAUCAAAGAUUUAUAGAACAUUACAUAUUUAUUUCAUCAGACAUUUGAGAAUCCGAUAGAAAAUGUCUCGCAAACCGGAAAACAAACGUUAAAUCCGGAAAUUAAAACAAAACUAAGGAAACCAAAAAAAAAAAAGCAGAUGAUAAAAUCAAAGGUGAGGAGGGAGAUAAAGUUUUUUUUUUUUGAUGUUUACACAAAGCAAAGAAGCAGUGAAAUUAAGCAUCGGUGAAGCUUGCUGGCUUGUAGGCGAUGAAACUGAUGCACUGGACUUGACGGGUGUUGUCGAAUCCGAUGAUCCUAAUGAAGGCCUGGGGGUACUCCUUCUUGCACUCUUGCACUUCCUUCAACACUUGAGCUGAGUCAGUGCAUCCGAACAAAGGAAGCUUCCACAUUGUCCAGUACCGUCCAUCGUAGUAUCCGGGAGUGCUUCCGUGCUCACGGUGCACAAAUGCGUUCUACAAAAACACAUUACACAAAACCAUUCAAAAACAUAAAUCAAGAUUCUGCUUAGGACCUCUAAAUAGUUAUUAACUUGAUUGCAAGAUUCAUAUGGUCCAAGAGAUCAAGCUACUCUAUAAAUGAUUUUUAUUACCUCCAACUCGAAUUCAACACAGGGAAUCCACUUGUUGCGGAGAAGGUAGUCAACUUCCUUAGCCAAUUCAACUUCGGUUAGGUCAGGAAGGUAAGAGAGAGUCUCAAACUUCUUCUUACCAAUAGGAGGCCACACCUAUUUUUUGCCAUUUUUCCAAAAUCAACAAAAACAAUAUUAGUUUAUAUGAUUCGAUAAAUCAAAAACCCAUAAAUUUGUUUUUGGUAUAAGAGAUUUGACCUGCAUGCAGUUAACUCUUCCGCCGUUGCUUGCGAUGGAAGUAAUGUCGUUGUUGGCCUUACGGGUCACAGGGAAAGCAGCGGAGGACUUAAGUCCGGUGAAAGGUGCGACCAUUGUGGCCUGAGCCGGAGAAGCGACCAUUGUAGCGGAAGAGAGCAUAGAGGAAGCCAUAUUGCCUUUACUCUUUUUGUGUGUGACUUAGGUUUGGUCUAGUGCUUUGGUCAUCUAUAUAUAAUGGUAACAACAAUGAUAACAAGGUGAGGGAGUGAUCGGAGGGCUCA